rnacentral:rRNA from 1 species
AUAAGUAUCCAAGGGCACACGGUGGAUGCCUUGGCAUAGUCAGGCGAAGAAGGACGCGAUAACCUGCGAAAAGCGUCGGGGAGGUGGAAAUAACCUUUGAUCCGGCGAUAUCCGAAUGGGGCAACCCGUUGAGAGUCAUGUCUCAACAUCGAAAGAAGCCAACCCGGAGAAUUGAAACAUCUUAGUAACCGGAGGAAAAGACAUCAAAUGAGAUUCCCUAAGUAGUGGCGAGCGAACAGGGAGGAGCCUAAACCGAGAGCUACGGCAAUCGGGGUUGUAGGACUACAGACGUUAGCAUAGACGGUAGCAGAAACACGUGGGAAAGUGUACCAUAGGAGGUGAGAGUCCUGUAAGCGAAACCGAACAUGCGGCAGUAGAAUCCUGAGUAGAGCGGGACACGAGAAAUCCUGCUUGAAUCCGGGGGGACCCCCCUCCAAGGCUAAAUACUCGACUAUGACCGAUAGUGAACCAGUACCGUGAGGGAAAGGUGAAAAGCACCCUUUGGAAGGGAGUGAAAUAGAACCUGAAACCGUGUGCUUACAAACGGUGGGAGGAAGAUAUAGCAAUAUAUGGACUGACCGCGUGCCUUUUGCAUAAUGAGCCAACGAGUUACUCGUCACAUGCAAGGGUAAGUAUCUCAGAUACGAACCCGUAGCGAAAGCGAGUCUGAAUAGGGCGCAUAGUAUGUGGCGGUAGACGCGAAGCCGUGUGAUCUAUCUAUGGCCAGGAUGAAGCGGGGGUAACACCUCGUGGAGGUCCGAACCGGUGUGGGUUGAAAACCGCUCGGAUGAGCUGUGGAUAGGGGUGAAAGGCCAAUCAAACUCGGCAAUAGCUCGUACUCCCCGAAAUGUUUUUAGGAACAGCCUUGAAGGAAGUCUGUCGGAGGUAAGGCUCUGAUAGGGCUAGGGCCGUUACAGCGGUACCAAACCCUGAUAAACUGUAAAUGCCGAUACGAUAUCUUCAGGAGUGAGGCGGCGAGGGAUAAGCUUCGUCACCGAGAGGGAAAGAACCCAGAUCAUCAGCUAAGGUCCCCAAAUCAAUGCUAACAGACAAAGGAGGUGCGGUUGCAGCGACAACCAGGAUGUUGGCUUAGAAGCAGCCAUUCAUUUAAAGAGUGCGUAAUAGCUCACUGGUCAAGCGACCGUGCGCCGAAAAUACCCGGGACUAAAAGCAUUGUACCGAAGCUAUGGAUUUCUACUUUAGGAGUAGAAGUGGUAGGGGAGCAUUCUGUAUGCAGUGAAGGUGUACUGUGAGGUAUGCUGGAGCGUACAGAAAAGCAAAUGUUGGCAUAAGUAGCGACAAAACAAGUGAGAAUCUUGUUCGCCGUAAGCCCAAGGUUUUCUGAGCUACGUUCAUCGACUCAGAGUUAGCCGGACCCUAAGCCGAGGCCGAAAGGUGUAGGCGAUGGAAAGCAGGUGAAUAUUCCUGCGCCACCAAAAGAGUUAAAUACAGGGACGCAGAAGCGUAAGUGUGCGGAGUUAAUGGUUAUCUCCGUAUGCCGAAGCACGCUGCCAAGAAAAGCUGUAUGUAUUUCUUCGGUGACCGUACCGCAAACCGACACAGGUGGGCGAGUAGAGUAUACUCAGGCGCUCGUGUGAGCCGUGGUUAAGGAACUCGGCAAAUUAGCCCCGUAACUUCGGAAGAAGGGGUGCCAUCGCAAGAUGGCCGCAGUGAAAUGGCCCAAGCAACUGUUUAACAAAAACACAUCUCUCUGCUAACACGUAAAGUGGACGUAUAGGGAGUGACACCUGCCCGGUGCCGGAAGGUUAAGAGGAGAAGUCAGCGCAAGCGAAGCCUUGAAUCGACGCCCCGGUAAACGGCGGCCGUAACUAUAACGGUCCUAAGGUAGCGAAAUUCCUUGUCGGGUAAGUUCCGACCUGCAC